rnacentral:rRNA from 1 species
CGGUGGAGCAUGUGGUUUAAUUCGACGCAACGCGAAGAACCUUACCAGGGCUUGACACUCCCCUGACCGCGUAUGAAAGUACGUUUUCACCCUCGGGUGACAGGGAGACAGGUGGUGCAUGGUUGUCGUCAGCUCGUGUCGUGAGAUGUUGGGUUAAGUCCCGCAACGAGCGCAACCCCUACGUUUAGUUGCUAACGCGUGAAGGCGAGCACUCUAGACGAACUGCCGUUGACAAAACGGAGGAAGGUGGGAUGACGUCAAAUCAUCAUGCCCCUUAUGUUCUGGGCUACACACGUGCUACAAUGGCCGGUACAGACGGACGCAAAGCCGCGAGGUGGAGCAAAUCCUAAAAAGCCGGUCUCAGUUCGGAUUGCAGGCUGCAAUUCGCCUGCAUGAAGUCGGAAUCGCUAGUAAUCGCAGGUCAGCAUACUGCGGUGAAUACGUUCCCGGGCCUU